GAGUAACACGUAAGUAACCUGCCCCGAAGUAAGGAAUAAUCCGCCGAAAGGCAGACUAAUACCUUAUGUGAUAGCCCUCCGCCGGGAGGGUCACCAAAGCCCUCGGGCGCUUUGGGAGGGACUUGCGUCCUAUCAGGUAGUUGGUGAGGUAACGGCCCACCAAGCCGAAGACGGGUAGCUGGUUUGAGAGAAUGACCAGCCACACUGGGACUGAGACACGGCCCAGACUCCUACGGGAGGCAGCAGCAAGGAAUAUUGCGCAAUGGGCGAAAGCCUGACGCAGCGACGCCGCGUGAGGGAAGAAGGCCUUCGGGUCGUAAACCUCUUUUCUUGGGGAAGAAUAAUGACGGUACCCAGGGAAUAAGUCACGGCUAACUACGUGCCAGCAGCCGCGGUAAUACGUAGGCGGCGAGCAUUAUCCGGAUUACUGGGCGUAAAGCGGGUGUAGGUGGUCUUUCAAAGUCGGAUGUGAAAUUUCCCGGCUCAACUGGGAAGGGCAUUCGAUACUGUUAGACUGGAGGGCAGUAGAAGGAGGUGGAAUUCCCGGUGUAGUGGUGAAAUGCGUAGAUAUCGGGAGGAACACCAGUGGCGAAAGCGGCUCCUGGACUUGUACCUGACACUGAGGCCCUAAAGCGGGGGUAGCAAACAGGAUUAGAUACCCUGGUAGUCACGCCCUAAACGAUGGAUACUAGGUAUGGGGGGGUUAUCGACCCCCUCCGUGCCAAAGUUAACACCUUAAGUAUCCCGCCUGGGGAGUACGUCGCAAGACUAAACUCAAAGGAAUUGACGGGGCCCGCACAACGUGGAGCAUGUGGUUCAAUUCGAUGCACGCGAAGAACCUUACCUGGGUUUGAAAGCCGGUGACCACCGAUGAAAGUCGGUCUCCCCCAAGGGGCCCGGUACAGGUGCUGCAUGCUGUCGUCAGCUCGUCCAGUGAGUGUUGGUUAAGUCCCCAACGAGCCCAACCCUGCACUUAGUCCAUCAGGUCAAGCUGGCCACUCUAAGUGGACUGCCUACGCAAGUAGUGAGGAAGUGGGGAUGACGUCAAGUCCUCAUGCCCUUACACCAGGCCACACACGUGCUACAUGCCCCACAUGGUACCAAACCGCGAGCGACCCAUCCCAAAAGCGUCUCAGUUCGGAUUGGAGUCU
rnacentral:rRNA from 1 species